UAACACUAACUGGAGGACCGAACCGACUAAUGUUGAAAAAUUAGCGGAUGACCUGUGGCUGGGGGUGAAAGGCCAAUCAAACCGGGAGAUAGCUGGUUCUCCCCGAAAGCUAUUUAGGUAGCGCCUCGUGAAUUCAUCUCCGGGGGUAGAGCACUGUUUCGGCUAGGGGGCCAUCCCGGCUUACCAACCCGAUGCAAACUGCGAAUACCGGAGAAUGUUAUCACGGGAGACACACGGCGGGUGCUAACGUCCGUCGUGAAGAGGGAAACAACCCAGACCGCCAGCUAAGGUCCCAAAGUCAUGGUUAAGUGGGAAACGAUGUGGGAAGGCCCAGACAGCCAGGAUGUUGGCUUAGAAGCAGCCAUCAUUUAAAGAAAGCGUAAUAGCUCACUGGUCGAGUCGGCCUGCGCGGAAGAUGUAACGGGGCUAAACCAUGCACCGAAGCUGCGGCAGCGACACUGUGUGUUGUUGGGUAGGGGAGCGUUCUGUAAGCCUGUGAAGGUGUGUCGUGAGGCAUGCUGGAGGUAUCAGAAGUGCGAAUGCUGACAUAAGUAACGAUAAAGCGGGUGAAAAGCCCGCUCGCCGGAAGACCAAGGGUUCCUGUCCAACGUUAAUCGGGGCAGGGUGAGUCGACCCCUAAGGCGAGGCCGAAAGGCGUAGUCGAUGGGAAACGGGUUAAUAUUCCCGUACUUGGUGUUACUGCGAAGGGGGGACGGAGAAGGCUAUGUUGGCCGGGCGACGGUUGUCCCGGUUUAAGCGUGUAGGUGUGUGUUCCAGGUAAAUCCGGUUCACUUUAACACUGAGGCGUGACGACGAGGCACUACGGUGCUGAAGCAACAAAUGCCCUGCUUCCAGGAAAAGCCUCUAAGCAUCAGGUAACAUCAAAUCGUACCCCAAACCGACACAGGUGGUCAGGUAGAGAAUACCAAGGCGCUUGAGAGAACUCGGGUGAAGGAACUAGGCAAAAUGGUGCCGUAACUUCGGGAGAAGGCACGCUGACACGUAGGUGAAGUGAUUUACUCAUGGAGCUGAAGUCAGUCGAAGAUACCAGCUGGCUGCAACUGUUUAUUAAAAACACAGCACUGUGCAAACACGAAAGUGGACGUAUACGGUGUGACGCCUGCCCGGUGCCGGAAGGUUAAUUGAUGGGGUCAGCGCAAGCGAAGCUCCUGAUCGAAGCCCCGGUAAACGGCGGCCGUAACUAUAACGGUCCUAAGGUAGCGAAAUUCCUUGUCGGGUAAGUUCCGACCUGCACGAAUGGCGUAAUGAUGGCCAGGCUGUCUCCACCCGAGACUCAGUGAAAUUGAACUCGCUGUGAAGAUGCAGUGUACCCGCGGCAAGACGGAAAGACCCCGUGAACCUUUACUAUAGCUUGACACUGAACAUUGAGCCUUGAUGUGUAGGAUAGGUGGGAGGCUUUGAAGUGUGGACGCCAGUCUGCAUGGAGCCGACCUUGAAAUACCACCCUUUAAUGUUUGAUGUUCUAACGUGGACCCGUUACCCGGGUUGCGGACAGUGUCUGGUGGGUAGUUUGACUGGGGCGGUCUCCUCCUAAAGAGUAACGGAGGAGCACGAAGGUUGGCUAAUCCUGGUCGGACAUCAGGAGGUUAGUGCAAUGGCAUAAGCCAGCUUGACUGCGAGCGUGACGGCGCGAGCAGGUGCGAAAGCAGGUCAUAGUGAUCCGGUGGUUCUGAAUGGAAGGGCCAUCGCUCAACGGAUAAAAGGUACUCCGGGGAUAACAGGCUGAUACCGCCCAAGAGUUCAUAUCGACGGCGGUGUUUGGCACCUCGAUGUCGGCUCAUCACAUCCUGGGGCUGAAGUAGGUCCCAAGGGUAUGGCUGUUCGCCAUUUAAAGUGGUACGCGAGCUGGGUUUAGAACGUCGUGAGACAGUUCGGUCCCUAUCUGCCGUGGGCGCUGGAGAACUGAGGGGGGCUGCUCCUAGUACGAGAGGACCGGAGUGGACGCAUCACUGGUGUUCGGGUUGUCAUGCCAAUGGCACUGCCCGGUAGCUAAAUGCGGAAGAGAUAAGUGCUGAAAGCAUCUAAGCACGAAACUUGCCCCGAG
rnacentral:rRNA from 2 species